AGCUAUAACAGAAUCUACUAACUUCCCGCCAACUGAUCCCUUCUACAUUCUUCUAAAACUUAUAGAAAUUACAGUUAUUCUCAUUACAUCAGAUUCUCAUAUCUCUUCCUAUAAUACGUGACAAUCCCUUUUAUUAUUUUUCAAUAGAGAGAUUCAAACCCUUGCUGGGAUGGCAAAUAAAUAAAAGGAAUGCAGUGACAGAAAUGGUGCUGAUCUCUUCUCUUAUGCUAAUUAAAGUGUCCAGUUGUGGUGCUUAGAAUCAAUUCUCUUUUCUUCAAUUCAAUAAUAAUUCAAGUUUCUCUUGGACUGCCUGGUGAACAGUUUAGGCUUGAUUUCAGUUCCCAGCCAAGGUAAAUGAAGGAAGAGAUCUCACUACCCAAUGGAUUACUGGCUUAACCAAGAAAGACAAAUGUAGGCUUUUGAUCCAUUUCACCAGCUGUAGAACUGAAGCCGAAAGUGCUGAUGCUUUAAUCCAUUUAACAGAAGCCUAGAAACCUUUUUAGUAGCAUCUGCAACCAUUUCUUUAAUUUUGUGAUGCUGCAGGAAGCUGGACUAUAGAAUGUAACAACUUUGUGCCUAACCUAUAGCUUCAUUUUAAUAAUUCUAGUAUAAAAUUGUAGUCUUGGCUUAUCAAUGAAGAGAUUUAUUAGCAUUCUAUUCAUCGUUGAUCUGUUUAAAUUUCCACUUUACCUCUUCUCAUAACUUGUCCCUCUCUCCCCUUUUUCUUAAUUUUCUAUUUAAUCUUUGUUGAGGAAUCUAGUUUGACUAUUUAAUAUGUAGUGAAAUCUUUGGUCUAGCAUGGUGAGGAAUUUAAUGUUCUAGACUCUCAUUUGAUGGGGAAAGGUUCAUUGCAGGGAAAAGAGGGGAAACCAUGACCACAAACCACCCCCCCACCCCCAAAGAAAAAAAAAAAAAAA
rnacentral:misc_RNA from 1 species